UACGGGGGGGGCAAGCGUUGUUCGGAAUUACUGGGCGUAAAGGGCUCGUAGGCGGCCAACUAAGUCAGACGUGAAAUCCCCAGCUCAACCUGGGAACUGCGUCUGAUACUGGAUGGCUUGAAUCCGGGAGAGGGAUGCAGAAUUCCAGGUGUAGCGGUGAAAUGCGUAGAUAUCUGGAGGAAUACCGGUGGCGAAGGCGGCAUCCUGGACCGGCAUUGACGCUGAGGAGCGAAAGCCAGGGGAGCAAACGGG
rnacentral:rRNA from 1 species